rnacentral:lncRNA from 1 species
GCAGCUUGCAAAACGGCAAUGUCACAGAACUGACCACAUUCAUCACAAUAUGGAGUCUGGAGAGCGGUUAUCGUCAUCAUCAGCUUCCUCUACUGCAGCUACUUCGUCUCCAGCAUCUUCUACGCCUUCUGUAGCUUCAGCAGUUUCAAAGGGUGGCCUCCCCAGUGGAGCUGCAUCACAGAGUUCUGCCAUCAACGCAUGUGGUCUUAAUAUAGAAAUGAUCUUGUGACUCCUUAAAUAAACUUUGAUGAAGAGCAGAUCUGGUGCCUAAA